rnacentral:rRNA from 1 species
AGCGAACGUUAGCGGCGCGCCUAACACAUGCAAGUCGCACGAGAAAGGGAGCAAUCCCCGGUACAGUGGCGCACGGGUGAGUAACACGUAGAUGACCUUCCCUGGAGUGGUGGAUAACCUGCCGAAAGGCGGGCUAAUACAGCAUGGGACCACAUGGUUUUGACCGAGUGGUGAAAGCGGGCCUCUGUUCACAAGCUCGCGCUCUGGGAUGGGUCUGCGUCCCAUCAGCUAGUUGGUGAGGUAAUGGCUCACCAAGGCAUCGACGGGUAGCUGGUCUGAGAGGAUGACCAGCCACACUGGAACUGAGACACGGUCCAGACUCCUACGGGAGGCAGCAGUGGGGAAUCUUGCGCAAUGGGCGAAAGCCUGACGCAGCGACGCCGCGUGGGUGAUGAAGGCCUUCGGUUGUAAG